ACAACAGGAGAUAACAUAAACUCCAUUGACGGAACAAGUGAGGUGUACAGAUUACAUGGGCCACCGCUAAACCCAGACAUCACAAACAUUCGGUAAGGGGAUGAACAGGUUACACUCAAGUGUAUAGUAAAAAGAACAAUUCAUAAAACUGUCAGCACCUUCAUGGCGCGCGUCUUCACUUUAUUAUCAAUUUAUCAUAGAGGGCCUUCAUUCACCAAGCAGUCAUGGAUAGACCUCGAUGACCGAUAGAGCGCCAACAACGGGCAGGAUUUUGUAGUCUUUGAAUCCAGCUUCAAUGAAAAUCUUCUUCCACUCUUGCUCGUCGCGCUCAGCUCCAUUAACCGUCAUAAUAUAUAAAUCAAACAUAACUUGUGUCUUUAGAAGCUUUAUGUUUGGCUCCCCAUAUCCAACUACCAUGUCCAAGAUUAUUACCUUCCCUCCUGCAUCCCGUGGAGAUAUCGCUUGCUUGCAUUUCUUUAAUAUCUUGACGCAGUUGUCGUCACUCCAGUCAUGUAAAGUUGUCUGACAUAGGUAAUCAUCAAAUUAAUCGAUAGGUAAUGAAGAAAAGGGUCUUUGGUGUUUGGAUUCAAAGAUAAUAGCACAUUUAUGAUGUGAGAGCCCUUUACUUCUACUCCAUUAGUCCCAAAUUAAGAGUUUGGUCGGCAAUACUAGAACAACUCCGACUUUACACUAAAACGUUAGAAUCACUGCUAAACACAAAUAUUACACGUAGCGUUUCUUUUCAGAAACAAUUCUUCUAUUUGCACUACACAUGUGAAACGGUCCUAGACACUAGUUUCGAAGGAUUGUGUUUUAGUGCUUGCUACACGUAGAGGAGGAUCUAUGCACUAGAAAACUGAAAAAUAAAAAAACAAUGAUUAUAGUUAAAUUUUUAUCAUAUACACAUCCCUAUAAAAAUAUAUACACUUACAAGGUAAGUACACCUUCUCAAAUUUUCUCUAGCUCCACCCUGGCUAUACACUAGCGAAUAUAUUUUUCUUGAAUUGUUAUUUUUAAGUGCAGCAAAUUAUACUAGAUUGUAUUUAAGUUGUUCGUUGUCCACACAAAGUUAGGAAUUUUUUUAAGCUUAUUUUUAUUUGUAUGAUUGUUUAUGUAAAAAGAUUCUGGGAAUAAGAAUGCAAGAUCAUAACCAAAUGAUUUUGUAAAGUCAUUCUGAUUCAUCACCCAAAACGUUUUAUGAGGUAAUCUAGAUCUGAAAUGUUUCUACAAAAAUAAUCUAGAUCCCUAUGAAACACAACCUGAAUUAACUUAUAGAUAGAGUGGUCUUAAGUCAAACUAUUUUAAUCUUAAUCGAAUUUUUUAAAAAAAUGGCAUUAAGUAUUUAUGAUACUAAAUUAGUAUCACUAAAACAUCUUGACAUAUAUUUUCAUAAUAUAAGUGUUUGGUGUCAUAGAAGUCAUUACUUUUUUUUAUAUAAAAUCAGUGAAAUUUAAGAUAGUUUGACUUAAGGUUUUAUGAUACAGUGAGCAUCUCAUGCAUGACAAGAAAAAGGAUAGUCAAAUUUGAGCAGUCAGCACUCAGCAGUGACGGAUGUACCUUGAGAAAAACAGCGGUUGCAGGUGGAAUACUCUGAAACAUGUUUCCUGCGAUGAACUGCACGUUGACAUCGGAUGGAGCACCGGCGACAACGUGUGCAAGGUCAAGCACGCUGCAUUUGAUGUGCGGGAAGGCAGCGGCGAUGGUGGCGGUGGCGCCACCAUGCCCGCCGCCGACGUCGACCAGCGAGUCGAUCCCACGGAACACCUCGCCGCACUCCCUGAUCACGACCGGCAUCAGGAAGCGGCUGUCCGCGACCAUGCCUUUGUUCAGCAAGGCGUUUACGUCGUCAGCGUGCUCCCAGAUCGUCGGCGUUGGCUGCCGGAACGCCAGCGCAUAGGCGGUCGGCUCGUUCUGCUCCUGCCGGAACCACUUGCACAUGCCCUGGGUGUGCGGGGCGACGGCGAUCGGGUGGAGCGCCAGGCUCACGAAGGGCGCCAAGGUCGUCGACGACGAGCUCACCUCGUCGUCGCCGACGAGGAAGCGGGAGGCUGCCGUCAGCCUGUAGACAGCGGCUUCGCCGGACGACGCGUCGACGACGACGCUGGUUGGUGGUUGCUGGACGCUGAAGGUGCCGAAGACGGUGAGCGCGCGCAUGAGGCUGCGUAGGGCGCGAAGCUUGUUUGGGUGGAGCGCAGUCUCGGCGAGGAUCUGGGCGAGGGUGGCGCCGUCGUCGCCGUGGCGGUGGAUCGCGUCGGGGAUGCGGAGGUCCAGCGCCACGGCGAGCGCCAUGGAUUUGGCGAAGCACAGGGACUGGUGCCAGAGCUCGACGUAAGACUGGAGCAAGUCCUGGCUGCUCUCCUGCACGAGUGCCAUCGUGUCCACGUGCACGUAUAGUAUGUAUAUCUAUACGCUGCUGGCUGGCUGGUUAGUUCUGUUUCUCGAUUGCUAGCGCUAGGCAGUUUAUAUAGUGUUCUGCUUGAUGAGGUGCUCUAAUAAAAGUCUAAACAUGUGUUGAUUAUCUUUAUAAAUAGAGGCAGCAGGACAUACCGGGAGCUGCUAGUCCGAUGGAUGGACGGGCCGGCGCCUGCCUCCGAUAGUUUGCCGCCCUCCCAUAGUUUCCCGCCCAAUCAGCGCUAGCGAGGACGAGGAGCACACGGGAAAGAAAGGAAGCCUGCAGUUCCCUGGGCCUCAUGUGGAUAAAUUUUGCCCCCAGCGCUCGUAGUCAUGAGCCGUGCAGGAGCUCGCAACUUUUUCGCCCACAGGAAGAAUGACCCCAAAGAUGGCCCACGCAGGAUGGACAUCACAGCAGCCUGCAUGCAGGUGAUUAUUUUAUUUGCUUGAUUUGCAUGAGGUGAUGCCAUAUGUUUUUACAAACAAAAAAGUCGUAUGUUUUAGGUUCAGAGAACAAUGUUCUAUAUUGGUAAGAAAAAUAUUCUCGGUUUAGAAGAACAAUGUUCAGUUUAAAUACAUGAUAUUGGUAUUAUAACCCUGGACUCUCCCAACUUUUAGAAAGCGACAGAAAGAGAGAGUUUAACAGAAGAGAAAAGGAGCACCGCGUCACAGUUCCAACAAUUACACAACCAACCAACCAAUAGUACAAAAGCUUCAAGAAAACCGAUCUUUAAGUUUCUUAAGAGAACUUCAGAUCUCUUCAAGUGGAAGGAUCUCCCUGUCCAUCUAAAUCCCCAUCUGGCAGCAGUCUUGACGUCUCGGCAUCCUUCUUCUGACGCUUCAGGAUCUGGUUUGCAAUCUGUAACAUGGUGUUCACUCUAUCUUCAAGUUGCUCCUUGUCAGCUUCACAGUAAAGACCUGCCCAGUAUUUCAUUAGAGCACAUAUAUGGUAUAUGAUUUGCAUAGGGUCCUUGAUGAUGGUUUUCUCAAAACAUGCUUUGUUUCGCGCUUUCCAGAUGGCCCAGCACACCGCUGCAAUCCCACAUAAAUGAAAUUUCCUGCCAAAUGGUAACCAUUUCUCACACCAAUUCCAACUUUGAUCAAGAUUCCUUGGAAUAUUUUUUGCUCCAAAGCAUCAUUAACAAGGAUAAAUAUAUAGAACAAAUAAAAAGUAAAUAACUUAAAUAAGGGUGGAAAAAAGGGAACAAUAACAAUGAAAAACAUAUAGAAAACUAAAAAGGAAAGAAAAAGUAAGAACAAAUAGAAGCAAGAAAAAACAAUGAAGAGAAUUCAAAAGAAAAAAAAAAGUAAAACAAAAAAGGAAUAUGCAUGAGAAGAAAAAAUAAAAAUAAAAAAUAAAAAAAUAAAAACAUAGAUCAAAGAAAAAUAUAAUUAUAAAAUACAAAUAAAAAAAUAAAAACAUCACUAACAAGGAUAAAUAUAUAGAACAAAUAAAAAGUAAAUAAUUUAAAUAAGGGUUGGAAAAAGGGAAAAUAACAAUGAAAAACAUAUAGAAAACUAAAAACGAAAGAAAAAGUAAGAACAAAUAGAAGGAAGAAAAAACAAUAAAUAGAAUUCAAAGAAAAAAAAUAAAAUUAGAACAUGCACAACGUGUGAAUAUAAAAAAAUAAAAGAGUGAAAAAUAAAAAAAGAAACAUAAAAAAUAUAAGAAUAAUAAAAUAAUAAAAAAGACAUAAAAUAAAAAAUGAGAAAAGAAAUAAAAAAGAGGAACUAACGCAACCACCAACAAGUUAGGAGUUUAGGACUUAAUAAGAAAACAAAUAAGAAGAAGAAAGAAGAAAAAAAGAAACAUACGUACAGGAACGUACGUCGCUUCGCUUAGGUAGGUGUUGUUAUGUGUUGAGACGCGUGCAAGAAUCAUCGGACCACGUCUUUCGUCUGAAUGUUCGGACAGAAAGAGUCCAGAGACAUACCGGCCGUUCCGAGAAUAUGAGUUCGUCAUCUAAAUUCAGCAAUGAGGCUGAUUUAGUAAUAAAUCUACUAAUUAUUAGCUAGAGGCUCCUAACUAUUAAUUCUAUUAGCUGAUUUGGUUGUUAAUAGAUGCUAAUACUUUAUAUAUACAUCUUUAACUCACUAUAUCCAACCACCUAUUAGCAGGUGAAUUUAUAAGAUCUACUAAAAAUUAACUACCUAAAAAGUUACAGUAUUAGCUAUUAGUGAUCGAGUAAAUUCUUAAUAUUAUAUAUUGGGUCCAAACAUGCCUUUAGCUAACAUAUAUAUCUGUCAUUAAAUCUUCUCGUUCUUUAUUUCUCCCUUGGCAAAGCGCGCACGUCCACCAGACUCCUUUGUCUUCCCACCUAUGGAGACCUCGGCUGCUAGGUGUGUUGCUGGCACCAACGAUAGCUAGAAUAAAGGUCUGUUUGGCAGGGCUCCUCUUCAGCUCCGACUCUGACUCCUCUAGAGAAGUCUUGCCAAACGUUGUUUUGGAGAAGCCGUUUUUAAGUGAAAAGCAGAGAAGCCAGAGCCGUUUUGGUAAAGCCAUAAAUUAUGGCUUCUCCAAAACAGCUCUAUCGACGAACUCGCUACUGCAUCAGACAAGAAAACGCUGGAGAAUGGUGGAAAACUGGGAACUCUCGUGGUUGGAGAACAACGGCUUCAAGUGGAGUGGAGGGCAGUGGCUUGAGGGGAGCUAGAGUCCAAAGGGUGGCGCAGGGAGGGGGACGCGUUUUUUGACCUGUGUACAUGCUCAGCAGCUACUAUCCUGGCCAUUUAAACAACUUUGAGAUAUGUGCAGCAGGAGAGAGAGAGUGCAAAACAAAAGUGUUGAACAUAGGAGAGUGUGUACAUUGCAGCACGAAUUUUAAAGCAUUUUUAAAUGGUAGGAGAUAAGCACAACUGAGCAGGCACAAGCUACAAUACAUUAUCACAGGCAGCUCCGGGCCUCCGGCUAACUCAUACUCUCAUAGCGGUAGAUAGCGGCGGCUUUAGUGGAGUGCUCUUGAGAGCAAUGGAGGGAGCGACUCUAACAAACUUGUGGUGUUAGAAGGAGCGGCUCCGUUGAACUCGCUGUGGUGGACACCGGUAUCCAAGGACAGGACCGCGAGAGGGAGAAAGGAGGUGGAUGAGGAGGAGAAAGGUGAUAAAGAGACCCACACUGGUUUUCAAUCUAAUGACCAAAAAAAUCUAACAGAGAGACAGGCCAUCUAAAUCUAUUGGUAGAUGUAGCAAUUUCUAAUAGUUCUAGGCUCUCUUUUAAUUUGAAAUGAUAUUAUGUAGAUACUAUUUUAGAAAAGGUGCAAUAAAGUAUAGACAAUGUUAUUGUCAUAACAAAAAAAACCUGACCUGCAUUUCUCACGCAGGUCGAGAAAACCCUUGAACCUUUGGCUCAUCCAUGCACAGCGGCAUCGCAGCUCCCGUGAGACUGGGUUGGUCUUAGACCUGUGCUUUGGCGUGGGGCAGACGAGAGGAUAUUUUCAACACGGACAUAAAUUGCGCCUCAUUUGGCCAAAAUAUCCACCCUGAGAGGGUUCAAAUUGUGACCGACAUGGUGCAAAGCGUACAGCUAGACCAAUUGGUCUAGCAUUAAACUUAUAACUAGCUAGGAUGAGGCUUUUUUAUUAAAUAAAAAAAUUUGGUUGAGACAACACGUUCAAAUUUAAUUGCUCAUGAGUUAGCUCAAUUAGCAAAGAGAAUGUGCAUUGUGAUGUGCGGCAAUUAAGUCUUUUGCCAGACUCCUUGUUGGGUCCUAAAAUUGCUUCAUACCUUGUAUUUCAGGCUUUUUUUAAAAAAUAAAUCAGUUGAGAUAACACGUUCAAUUGACUUGCUCCUGAGUUAGCUUAAUUAGCAAAGCGUGGUGCAUUGUGAUGUGUGAGGUAAUUACGUCUUUUGCCAGACUCUUAUUGGAUCCUAAAAUUGUUUGAAUGCCUUGUAUUUCACGAUAGAAGGAGUAUAUUGUAGGCAGAGGUGUGGUGACAAAUAUUCACCGGUAGGUCAAAUGGCCGAACCUAACAGCUACUCUAUGAUAUACAAAGUGUAGUUUUAUAAGCCGCAGAUGUGCAAAACCAUGGUUUAGAACAAAAAUCUCAAGAGGAGUUUCUAAAACUCCAAAAAUAACUGCAGUUUAUGUAACAAUACUAUAUAUGUAGCUUUUAAAACUAACAGGUUCGGUAAAUCCAAACACCCUGAAGGUUUGAACAACCUACAAAACUGUACUAUUUUUUCCAAUACCUAAAAAAACUUCACAUCCAAACAUACUUACUCUGUGUGUGUGUGUUUGGGGGACACGAUAUAUGAUUGGUAGUAUCAUCAUGUUAGCUUACCAGUUCACCAUAGGUGACGGUAGGGGGGGUGGGGGGGGGACACGAUAUAUGAUUGGUAAUAUCAUCAUGUUAGCAACGCUAAAAGUACUUGGCAUCCUAAGAUUUUUGUCAAAAUCACAAAAAAACAGCCUCCAACAAGUUAACAAAACUACUUGGCAAUUUUGUGAGCUUGGCAAAAUUUUCCCUUCACUUGGCAAAUAUGUCAAGUCCUCCAUCACUUGGCAUUAUGUGUAUCCCAAUUUGCCAACUAGUUUUGCCAACUUGUUGGAAGCUCAAUUUUAUGAUCUUGGCAAAAAUCCUAGGAUGCCAAGUUCUUUUGCCAAGUCCAAAUAACAAAUUGUUGGAGAAGAUUUCUUUUUUCACUUGACAUUUUGUUUUGAGACUUAACAAAACUAUAGAUUUGCCAAGUGAGUUUUAGCAAACUAUUGGAGUUCCUUACCAGUUCACGACGACGGUAUCAAAGCAAAAUUCUGCGAUACAAUAUUGAUGCUUGCAAGUCAUGCCCCCAAAAGAUUACUCCCAUCUUUCUUACUUUCUUCGUCUCCUGAUUGGUAAUCUCUAGGAACUGUAUUUUGAUUUUAAUAAAUUCACAGUAGGGGGCAACCCCUUCUGAUUCCCUCAAAAAAAAAAGAUUACUCCCACUAGUCAUAGAUUCUUAACACUUUGAUUGACAUCUGAUCAUUUUUUUAAAAAAAAUUACCAUCAAUAGUUUCCAAAAUAUCUAGUUUGAAAAAAAAAUAUUAUAUACGGAGAAUAUAUAAGUUUUUCAUGUGACGGAGAAUAUGUUGCUAAAAAGGUCAAAAUUUUGAACAUGUACCAAGAAAAAUGGCAGUUUGCACGCACUUGAGCUUAUCGAGCGAGAAGUAAUUUAUAGCCAUGGUCCACGGUCAUGCCUCGGUUUCAAACUGGCAGGAAUAAACCAUCGGCGUUCCAAAAAAAAAAAGAAUAAACUAUCGGCGGCAGCGGCGAGAUCCCAGGAUUUGACUUAACUAAUUAGCGGCAAUAAUUGCAGCGGUUUCUUUCUGGACAUCUAGAAGGACGAAAUUUCUAGAACAAUAGCUUGAAACCAGUUCAGAUUUAUGCUGUGGAGAAAGACGCCAAACCUAUAGUGCCGGCUUGGAACAGAGUAAUAGAAAAUAAAAAGAAAAGAAAAAUAUAGGAAUAAUAAGAUAGAAAUGUAUCCGCAAAAUAAAAUAGAGAAAUGGGGAAAAACUAUACAAAUUGGUGUCUGGAAUGGAGGAACCAAAAGCACAAGAAAAAGAGUUCACUAGAAAAGCAUGCGCAUUUUUUAAUAAGGUAACCAUUAGUGAAGUACUGAAAGAACAUACGACUGUGUGGAGUACUCUACUAUACAAGCAUAUGCUGUAUUUUUUAAUCUAUGCUGCAUUUUUUAAUCUAGUUCUAACUUUUACCUUUCCGAUGGAUAUAGAGUUGCCAAAGCAAACUGAUUUGACAAACUUAUUUUUUGUUCACUACUCUUGAUUCGAGAAUGAUAUAAAGGUUGAUGUACCAAAAACAAUCCUGAGGCACUCACCAUUUACUAUACUAUCCUAGUACUAGUUUAUUAUUGGAUUCUUUCAUUGUCUUACCUAAUUUUAAUAAGAAUGGAUGUAAGAGCAUAUGUAGUGGUGCUUCUCCUUCUUCUUCCUCUCUUCUCUCACCCAUGGUGUGUGUUCUGCUCUCUCCUUUCUCUCAAAGCAGCAACAGCUCUUCUAGGGAAUGGAGGCUAGGGUUUUCUCUCUUUUAUCCUUCCUAGCAUCAGUCUCAACCGUCGAUUCAGGAGCAACUCAACAGUGCACAAGCACUAGGCUUGUGGGCUGUUAUGUUGGGCUCAAUUUCAUCCUCCAUGUCAAGGGAUAGCCCAACAAACUCUCCCUCCCAACAUCAUGGAGGGUCUGCCUCCCGGCAGUCAUGCCAGUGAGCCAAGAACAAACCUGGAGCUUUCCUCUUGUCAUCACCUUAGUCAACAUAUCCACCCUGUUAUCAUUGGUGUGAACUUUCUCAAGUUGCAUUUGCUUAGAAUUCAACACAUCCCGUAUCCAAUGAUAACGGACAUCAAUAUGUUUUGAUCUUGAGUGAAAAACAUGCAUGCUUACUCAAGUAAAUAGCACUUUGGUUGUUACAAAACAACACAUACUUGUCUUGAUUAAACCCAAGUUCACAAAUAAACUUUUUAGCCAUAGUAGCUCUUUGUUCGCCUCUAUCGCUGCAAUGAAUUUAGCUUCAGUUGUGGACAAUGCAACACAUUUCUACAACUUGCUUUGCCAUGACACAACUCCCCCUGCAUAGGAGAUCAAAUGCCCUAAAGUAGAUUUUCUAGUGUCAACAUCCCUAGCCCUGUGUAUGCAACAAACAUAGGAUCACCUUUCCCAAAAUAAAGUUUUCGAUUAAUGUUGUCCUAGAGGUACUUCAAAAUCCACUUCACGGCUUCUCAAUGUGGUCAUUCUGGAUUGGACAUAAAUCUGCUCAUAGUACUAACCGCAUGAGCAUAAUGUCAAGCCUUGUACACACCAUAGCAUACAUAAUACUUCCAACUACUGAGGCACAAGGGACAUUCUGCAUUUCCAUCUUCUUUUCAUCAGUAGAAGGCCAUUGCUUGGUGCUUAACUUGGAAAUGAGCUGCAAGUGGAUAGCUCAUAGCUUUUGCAUCGAUUGUCCAUCCUAAACUUGUAAAGUACUUUCUUAAUAUACUUCUCUUGAGACAAGUAAAACUUGUUCGAACUCUCUCAAUUCUCAUCCCGAGAAUUAGCUUUGCUGGCCCCAAGUCUUUCAUGGCAAUGGACUUGCUCAACUUUUUUUAGCUCUGCAAUUCUAUAUAUACUUUUACCAAUAAUCAGUAUAUAUAUCAUCAAUAUAGAGCAACAUGAUGAUAAAAUCAUCACCUCAGAACCUCUUAAUGAACACAUAAUAGUUUGAGCUACUCCUUUUGUAGCCUUGCUCCCCCAUAACUGGAUCAAAUGUCAAGUACCAUUGUCUUGGUGCUUGUUUCAGGCCAUAAAGACUCUUUUUCAACCUAAACCCAUAGUCUUCUUGCCUUUCACAAGAAACCACUUAGGUUGCUCCAUGUAGAUCUUUUCCUCCAAAUCACCAUGAAGAAAGGUUGUCUUCACAUCCAUUUGUUCAACCUCCAAGUUGAGACUAGUUGCCAAGCCAAGGACCACUCUAAUCGAUGUCAUCUUGACCACCAGAGAAAAGAUCUCAUUAAAGUCAACACCUUUUCUCUGGCCAAAUCCUUUCACAACAUGCCUGUCCUUGAACCUUGGAUGUGACGUGUGCUCUUCUUGCUUGAUUCUGUAGACCCACUUGUUUUUAAAAGAUUUCUUGCUCUUGGGACACUGUGCUAACUCAUGUAUAUAUGAUUCUUAUGCAAGGAAUUCUUGCAUAGAUUUCAUCCACUCCUUCUACUGAUCUUCCAUUGCAUGUGCAAAACACUCUAGUCUAAACCAUCAAAUAGUAACACCACAUAUUGAUCUGAGGGAUACCUAGUGGAAGGAACUCAAUCUCUAGAUCUUCUAAGUAGAAUUGUUGGAGGAUCUUCUAGUACUGGUGGUUGCUGAUCUAGAUCAUCGAUUUUAGCAUUAACUCAUGUUAUUGGGGAGCAUUCUCAUCACAUGUACCAUGCACAUCAUCUACAACAUCACCUUCAACUUUGUGGAGCUAGAGCUGUAGGAACUGGGUUUAAAUCAACCAAUAUAAUGGCUCUUGCUAAGGAACCGACACCUUUAUCUUCACAAUAUCCUCAAUUGUUUGAUCUUCAAUAAAUACAAUAUCACGGCUUCUCAAAACCAUCUUUGCAAUUGGAUCAAAGAUCUUAUAUAUGAACUAAUCUAAUCCAUGGCCAAGGAAGAUGUACGGUCGUGUAUUGGCAUCAAGCUUGAGCCUUUCAUCUUGAGGAAUAUGAACAAAGGCUUUGCACCCAAACAAUUUUAGAUGGUCAUAGGAGACUUCUCUAUUAUACCAAACCCUAUUAGGAACAUCACCCUACAAAGGAAUUAAGGUGAAUACAAGCUGAACACCUAAACAAAGCUCUUGAUACCACUCUAUUGGGAUAAAAGGGCAAAAACAAUGUACAAUUAAUCCCUCAUCUUGUGAUGAAUCCUGAUGAGAACAUCUACCAUGAGAUCCAUAAUAAAAAUAAACAAUGACAUGCAUAAUGGACACAAAGAUUUACAUAGAAAAUCUCCUCAAGGUGAUGAGUAAAAACCACAGGACCAAUCGGUUCACUCCAAGCAACAUAUUUUCAAGGAGUCUUCUCUAGAGCAUCUAGAGGAUUACACUAGUAGCAACACAUUCAUCAAGUUAUAAACUUGGCAUCAACUACAAUCAUAACCUUCUAAUAAGAGGAAUAACAUCAACCAAAUAUAGAAGUCACAUAUUCUGUCCCCCUCAGUAUCAGUUCAUAUCUCAUAUAACUACAGCUCCAUUAUAUACGAAUUUUGGUAGGCAAAUAUAUCCAUGAGUCCACUAACCACUGAGCAAAUUUAAGCUCAAUCAGACACCGUUUGACUACCUAAAUAAAUCAUCUACCAAAACUGCUCUAUUCUAAAACUAUAGUGACAUGAACUGAUAAAACCUCUCUCAACUCUAGUGUUCUACUCAACCAAUCCUCAAACCAACUUAACACUGUGACGCGUCCUGAUGGUUUACGAUUCAGCAAAAUUUUAUCGAAAUCACCAAAUUUUGGUUUUCACGCUGAGUCUGAUAUUCUUUUGUAUUGGCAAUUUUUUAUUUAAUUCAUCUUUUGCCUCCCGCCCUUCAAAAAAAUUUCUACAAAACCGCGGCCAACCAUAAUAUAUAUGGACUAAGCGUGUGUUUGAUUCUAGGAUUAUCGAUGGGUUAGACCUAACCUAUAUUUUUGGAUGGGAUGAACUCAUCUCUUGUUUGGUUUAGGAGGUUAAGUUUAUUUGAGCUCUUUGUUUGAUUUUACUGGGUUUCAAGGAGUGGGAUGAGCCACUGACUGUGGGCCCCGUGUGACAGCCUCUCAGCGCCUUCUUCUACCUCGUGCGCAUCAUCUAGGCCACAUGGUCACUGGGGCUGCGCGCGGCCACCGCUGAGACACACAUGGGCUGCUCGUCGAGACUGCACAUACGUCGGCCACCACCGCACGCAAGCGUGUCGCCCCCUGCCUGCCUGCCAAGGACGCACGUAUGCCGCCACCAUGCUGCGCAAGCAUGCCACGCCUGCUUGCCUAGGCCACGCGCGGGCUGUCGCCGCACACUUCAGCAUAGUCUCACGUAGGUCAUCGUACAUGAGAAAAUGUAUGUUAAGCCGAUUUCUUCGUGUUUUAUGGAUGAGUUGAACCCGCAUCUCGGAAUAAUAUUCCCUUCUAAGAUGAACCCAACACCUUUGAACUCCAAACCCAACACUCCCGAAAGGAGGUUUGACCCAGCCCAACCCACAUUAACCCUUCAUCCAAACACACGCUAAGUAAUAUAUAUAUAUAUAUAUAUAUAUAUAUAUAUAUAUAUAUAUAUAUAUAUAUAUAUAUAUAUAUAUAUAUAUAUAUAUAUAUAUAUAUAUAUAUAUAUCUCAGACCCACAUGACCAGUUCAUUCUGCUAGUGUUUUGCUAUAUAUAGUAUUCGAUCAACAUGUGUCCAUAAGGUGGAUCCCACUCAAGAUGAAAGAAUUCCCCAUCUCCAAUCCAUUGGCCAAAACAAUGAGAGAGACAGAGAGAGGAGUAAGAAAAAGUAAGAAUGCUUGCAGAAUUGGCGAAGCCACUGCAAAUUCGCAAAUCUCUCGUAAGCGAAUGGGCAGUUGCAUUCAAAGGUUUAUUUCUAGGGCAGUACCAGAGUAGUACUUCUUGUUCCAUCAUUAGAAGUAUCAAAGCAUUAUUUCCUUUACUAUUUUUCAAUUGUCCGAUAUUGGUCUAGAAAUAUAGGAAAUACUAUACAUCGUCACGUGUCUAAUUUUUUUUUCUUUUCAUUAAGGGAAAACUCAGGACCGUUGGAUCUUCAUUACGUGGCUACAGAGUUGUCUUCUUUUUUUGUGUGGAAUAGUUGUCUUCAACCUCUAGCGAUUCAGCAUUCAAGGCUGCACAUCCUGGAGUCGACUGUGUUUAGAGAAGGAAAGGCUGGUGCUAGCUGAUCUUGGGAAUGUUAGAGAUGCGGUCCAGUUCAUCCUGGAAGCUAAGGAAGACAAGCGACUACUGAUGAUCAUCGCUAUGUGGUUUACUUGGUGUGAACGCAAUAUUAUUCGGGAAGAGGGACGGAGGCGAAGUGCUGAUUUUAUGACACGGUGCGUCAGGUGCUGUGCAGAGGAAAACACUGAAGGGUUGGGAAGGGAGUAUCAUACAAGAAUCAACAGCUGCAGAAGUGGAGCAAACCACCAAAGGGGGUCCUGAAAAUGAACUGUGAUGCCUCCUUACUUCCUAACUCAUCGUCGGGCAGUUGGGGGUUCUUGAUACGGGAUGACGAGGGCGAUGUGAUCGUCACUGGCCGAGGGAAGGUUGAUCAUCUCCUGAAUGUGUUUCAUGCUGAACUUGUAGCCUGCCUGCAGGGAAUACAAGUGGCCGUGGAUUUGGGUAUCAGUCACCUGAUUGUUGAAACAGAUGCAAAGAUGGUUGUCCAAGCAGUGUCUACCAAUGAAUUUGAUGAUUCUGUUGUGGGCCUGUUGGUGUCUGAAAUCAAGAACUUAGUUUACUCCUGCUUUCUCAGCUUUCAGUGUGUGCUUAGAAGUAGAGAGUGCAAUCAAGCUGCUCAUGAGUUAGCUAAAUUGGGUCUGUUAUGUAAUUAGGGAGAGGAGCAAAUUAUGAGCUCUAUCCCUGAAGGCGUUCAUGUAUGUGUUGCUAACGACAUGUUAGCACCUGAGUAAUGGAAUCCACACCCAGUUUUUUAAAAAAAAAAACAUUCAAGGCUGCAACACUCACCCCUGCCUCCCACCGGCCUGCCCCCAUCCACGACGACCUCCUGGCUGCUGUGUCCAACUCCACUGUCCCCCGCCGCACUAACCCAGCGUCUUCAGACCAUACCCAUGCCUCCCCUGCCCCUUCCUAGCCCAAUUCUUGUCCUCCACCGCCUCAGCUGCCAGCGACCAUGCUGCCUCGCCCUACCGCCUUGUACCCACCAUCUACAUCUGGCCGGCCUGCAUGCGUCCCCGGAGCUCCUUUAUAAGCCGUAGGGUGCAGCACCUCUAACAUUGGGAACGUUCAAUCUUGGCCGCCUGAAGGAUCGAUGUCUAGUUUUUAGACGACUGAAUUAUAGAAGAUGUGUAGAAAUAUCAUCCACGCCCUUAGUCAACUUCAUAUAUGCUUAUUAGUCAUGUGCGCACAAGUGCAUGUAGUUUUUCCUUUUCAGGUACAUUAUGAAAUAUAACAGAUGCAUUUUACCACCGCGACCACAGAUUUCCUCGUUGGUCCAAACAAAAAUUGAAAAGGCAUCCCUGCUAUCUUUUGGAUGACAUGAAGGGCAAAAAAGUUUAGAUCAAUGACACAAUACAUAGGUGAUCACUCAACUUUUUUAAUGACAUAUAUGAAAUUAUACACUUUUUAAUAGCGCGUCUACAUCAAGGAAGAGCCUAGAUACAUAUAGCACUUCUCUUACGUUUUGUAUAAUGUGGAAUGCGCACCACAAGACCACAGGCAGAACACUGUUGUUCAGUUUAUUAUUACAAAUUCUCAGAGGUUAGAUUACAAAUGUAGAGGAGCCUACUGGUCUUAGAAAGAAAAGUGCGACUCAUGAGAGGUGAGGCCCUAAAGGUACAAACGUUGGCAGCAGAGUUUGUAGGCCUUUGUUCCCUGAUCGUAUCGGUGUUGUGGCCUCCAGAAACUGCGAGGCCACAAAAACUUGUAAAUAGCUCUUGUAACUAUUAUUCUCUCCACUUAUCAAUGAAAGCCGGUAACGGAUCUUUCGAAAAAAAAAUUCUCAGAGGUUCAAGUGUAGUAAAAAAAGCAGUACAUAAGUCUUUGGUUUAUUAUAAAAGCCUUUGUUCACCAAUGCAAGCAUUCAUGGAUAGACCUCGAUGACCGAUAGAGCGCCAAGAACGGGUAGGAUUUUGUAGUCUUUGAAUCCAGCUUCAGUGAAAAUCUUCUUCCACUCUUGCUCGUCGCGCUCAGCUCCAUUAACCGUCAUAAUAUACAAAUCAAACAUGACCUGUGUCUCUAGAUGCUUUGUGUUUAGCUCCCCGUAUCCAACUACCAUGUCCAGGAUUAUUACCUUCCCUCCUGCAAUCCGUGGAGAUAUCGCUUGCCUGCAUUUCUUCAAUAUCUUGACGCAGUUGUCGUCACUCCAGUCAUGUAAAGUUGUCUGUCAUAAGUAAUCAUCAAAUUAACUAAUGGAUAGGUAAUGAAGAAAAGGAACCUUGGUGUAUGGAUUCAAAGAUAAUUCCUACACUGAUAUGCAGAUCUAAGCAUUAGAUACGGUGCGGGUGCACCCAUCGAAAAACAAAAAAGCAGUGACGGAUGUACUACCUUGAGAAAAACAGCGGUCGCAGGUGGAAUACUCUCAAACAUGUUUCCUGCGACGAACUGCACGUUGACAUCGGAUGGAGCACCGGCGACAACGUGCGGGAGGUCAAGCACGCUGCAUUUGAUGUGCGGGAAGGCAGCGGCGAUGGUGGCGGUGGCGCCACCAUGCCCA
rnacentral:lncRNA from 1 species